UGCCAGACUCCUACGGGAGGCAGCAGUGGGGAAUAUUGCACAAUGGGGGAAACCCUGAUGCAGCGACGCCGCGUGAGUGAAGAAGUAUUUCGGUAUGUAAAGCUCUAUCAGCAGGGAAGAAAAUGACGGUACCUGACUAAGAAGCCCCGGCUAACUACGUGCCAGCAGCCGCGGUAAUACGUAGGGGGCAAGCGUUAUCCGGAUUUACUGGGUGUAAAGGGAGCGUAGACGGCAUGGCAAGUCAGAUGUGAAAGCCCGGGGCUCAACCCCGGGACUGCAUUUGAAACUGUCAGGCUGGAGUGCAGGAGAGGUAAGUGGAAUUCCUAGUGUAGCGGUGAAAUGCGUAGAUAUUAGGAGGAACACCGGCGGCGAAGGCGGCCUGCUGGACCGCGACUGACGUUGAGGCUCGAAAGCGUGGGGAGCGAACAGGAUUAGAUACCCCAGUA
rnacentral:rRNA from 1 species